rnacentral:rRNA from 1 species
UACGGAGAGGGCUAGCGUUGUUCGGAAUUACUGGGCGUAAAGCGCACGUAGGCGGCUUUGCAAGUCAGAGGUGAAAGCCCGGGCUCAACCCCGGAAUUGCCUUUGAGACUGCAUCGCUAGAAUUGUGGAGAGGUAAGUGGAAUUCCGAGUGUAGAGGUGAAAUUCGAUAGAUAUUCGGAAGAACACCAGUGGCGAAGGCGACUUACUGGACACAUAUUGACGCUGAGGUGCGAAGCGUGGGAGCAACAGG